UGAACGCUGGCGGCAGGCCUAACACAUGCAAGUCGAGCGGAUGAAAGGAGCUUGCUCCUGGAUUCAGCGGCGGACGGGUGAGUAAUGCCUAGGAAUCUGCCUGGUAGUGGGGGACAACGUUUCGAAAGGAACGCUAAUACCGCAUACGUCCUACGGGAGAAAGCAGGGGACCUUCGGGCCUUGCGCUAUCAGAUGAGCCUAGGUCGGAUUAGCUAGUUGGUGAGGUAAUGGCUCACCAAGGCGACGAUCCGUAACUGGUCUGAGAGGAUGAUCAGUCACACUGGAACUGAGACACGGUCCAGACUCCUACGGGAGGCAGCAGUGGGGAAUAUUGGACAAUGGGCGAAAGCCUGAUCCAGCCAUGCCGCGUGUGUGAAGAAGGUCUUCGGAUUGUAAAGCACUUUAAGUUGGGAGGAAGGGUUGUAGAUUAAUACUCUGCAAUUUGACGUACCGACAGAAUA
rnacentral:rRNA from 1 species